rnacentral:lncRNA from 1 species
AUAAAUUUGAGGCCCUUUUUCAUAAAUGUUCUUACGAAUCCAUUCACUUGCAUCUGUGGGGAAUGGGGAUUUGUCUGCUGUAGAGAUGAGAAAGUCACACCCAGGCUUCCAGACUUGUUUUCCCAAACUCUUUCAUAGUGGCCUUCCUAUGAGCAUUUAAAAAUUCCAGCACAACUCUGAUGACAAAGGAGUUUUUCCUACUGCCUCCUUCCUUUCCUUUCCUGCUGGCUUCUCCUGCCUAGGGGCCAUCUCACAGAGCAGCUCUUCCUCAGGGUGGUGAGCAUGAUGGGUAUAGGAAGAUCUCUAGGGAGCACUUGUGCUGAAGAAAGCUGAAGGUGACGUGCUUGAAGCUUUGACAGAUGUCUCUGGAUGACAGUGCCAUCCAUCACGAUUGCUUCUAUUGGAGGAUGGAACCUAUUUUGUUUACAGGGAAGUUGCACAUGUGGACAAGGCACGACCCUUGAUUUCAGAGCAAAGCCUCCGAUAGGAGGGAGGGCCAUGGCUUGUUUUUGGUCAUAGAAUGCAUUGAUGGCACCCAGACAGGAAGCCUAGUCCUGGAUUCUUGGUCCUUGCCCUCUGUCACCUAUUAUGCUUCAGCCACAGGCAGGGAUGGGGCAGCAGAUGGCCAUGUGGUUAGCCUUCUGCAGAAGUAGGAUGUAGGGAUUGAGGCCCAGUUCCUCCAGCAGAGCAUGGUCCACAGAAACUGUGGAGACAGCUAAGAGAGUGAGGCCAUGGGCCGGGGCAGUGCGAAGAAUGCUGCAGGCCCAGCCACCUGGGUCUUCCUACCAGUUGCCCUUCCAGUCAGUGCGGUCCUGGUGUACCCAGCAUCUGGGACAUUUGUCAUUUCAUGCACAGGAAGAUGCCUUUAUUAUUCCCCUGCCCACAGAGGGAUAAAUUUCUCAGAAAACAUAGCACUUAAACCUUGCCUCUUUCUGUACUUAACGCCAAAAUGUAUUUCCUUUGAGUGCAAAGGAAACACUUCUAGACUGGUGGCAUAACUAAAGCUUGGGUGAGAAAUGGAUUGUCAUCUGUUGAGCCUGCUAUCACUUUCUACAACUCAGGUUCUAAGUUCUUCAGUUAGUGUUAGGAAUAGCCUGUGAUGAAAUAGUACUCACUAACUGAAUUGUAUUUGUAGGGAAUGACCUUCUUGC